GCAGAUUGUCUUGUGCAUGAACAUAAUAAGAUCAAAAACCUCUAUGAAGACAUUCGCUACUUCAUUUCAAUUUACUCAUAUUGCUCAGUUAUGCACUCACACAACUAUUUAAUAAACAAUACACAUUCCAGACACUAAUGUUAUGGACUCUGGGUUGGAUUCUGACUUAGAGGCGUUCAUCAUAAUCCAUUAGAUGGUAGUUUAGUGCCUCUGAUUUUUCAAUUAAACACAAAACCAAUUGUCUAAACCUACGGUUCCUCUCGUACUAAGCAGGAUUACCAUCACCAUAACAACUGCGAACGGUAGGGUAAAACUAACCUGUCUCACGACGGUCUAAACCCAGCUCACGUUCCCUAUUAGUGGGUG